UGAAGUGUUGGGUGGCCGGUGGGCUGCGGAGAGCCGGUGAUAUCCUAGUGCCGGCCGACAGCCCGAGUACCAACAACAAUUGCGAACUGUGAUUCUUUUAAGUUGUGAUGUUACUGGUUCUUGUGUUAUCAUGAAGUGUGCUUAACAUGAUCGGCGAUUACCUCGCUUUUCCACAGAUGAGCAGUCGAAGACAGCUGCGAAGUCUGUGAUCUGCAAUUGAGAGAGGAAUAAAGCUUGGUGAAGUAAGGUCGUUAGAGUAGCAAUAAGAUUAUUUUUUGCUGAAGAUGGUACCCAUGAUUCAGUUUAUGAAGUAUAUGUACUACUAUAAAAAAAAAUUUGAGACCUCCUUUGGUAGAUGGAUAGACUUUAAUACAAGGAAAAUGGAUAUAACAAAUCAGUCUUCACUAUUAUAUUGCACAGAAUCUUUCGGGGUUUACCUAUUGAGAUCCAGGAGAAGAGAUGAGACGUGGAAUAGAUGACUAAAGAAGAUAGCGAACCCAAGAGCACGAGGAAGAUAAUUAAGCACCAUGGAGGACAAGCGUUUGAAGAAGCAUUUCAGAGGAGGAAAAGCAUUGAAGAAGCAAUUCGAAAGGAUUUUUUUUAAAAACCUAACAAGGAGAAAAUCGUGUGAAAAGCUUGGCCUGCUGGCCUAAUACAGAUAUUGCAGGCCAAGUUCAUAUGCGAGAUGCUUAAAUACUGGAGAGUAGGCAUUCAUAAUUUGGUCUUUGCAAGAGGAUCUGCUUUCCAAGGUGGAUUAAUAUCCCCUAGCUGUCUUUCAAAACCAAUCAAAUGGAUAAACCGUAUGGAGUUUCUAAGAUUUUGAGAAGCAGCAGCUGUUUAUGUAGGUUUUCAGAAGAAUAUUAAUGACAGUAACACCACUUCUCAGUAAGUUUAAACUUCCUCCCCCAGGAAGUUGAAACUUCCACAGGGGAGGAAGCAAAUCAGUUAUCAAUUCCUAUUGGGAGUAGUAAGCACAUAUUAGAAUGAGUUAAAUUAAGUUAUUUAUGCUAUAAUAUUCUACUGGAUGAAACAGGAUAUUGUACUUUGGUGUGAAAAAAAGUUCAUAAUGUCCUGUUGCUACAUCCAAUAGAACAAUAGCAAAAACAACUUGCUUCUCCUCCUUCAUGUGGUAGACAAUGAUUGCAGGAACAGAAGCCUCUCUCUUCCGGAAGAGACUAUUGUACAUGAAUGAGAAGGAUUUCCAGUGCCUAUGCUUCUGUCCUCUCCGUAGAUA